UCAGCUUUUACCUAAUAGUUUGACAAGACCACAUUUGCUAAUGGGGUGGUGGCUUAGUGGAUAAAACAGAAGCUUCAUGUGCAAGGCUUUUGCCGCAGUGGCUCUGGAUAGUCUCCGACCUGUGGCCCCCCCGCUUCAUGUCACCUGAUACACAGAUGCAGGUGUGAUAGUAUAAGGUUUACCAGAAAAUGAUGAUCCCAUACUUCCUGACCGCCCUCUCACAUCAAAGAUUUUUAGUUUUUCAUUUGAUAACAUCUGUUUUAAUCUUUUCAGACAUCACUUGUGAGGCUGGUGUGAUGCCCCCUCAUCUCAUUGUAGCUGGACUACCACCAGCCAAUGAAACAAUGAAGAUUGGACAUAAAUUACAGUUUAGCUGUGAUGAUCAAUAUACAAUGGAGGGGUCUGCAGAAAGUGAAUGUUUACAAACUGGGCAGUGGAGUGCAGCCUUUCCAACUUGCACUGCGAUAACAUGUACAGUCCCCAAUAUUGAAAAUGGUUACAUGCCUGGAAAUAUCCAAGAGUACAAAGAACAUGAAGUCCUUCACUAUGAGUGUAAUGCUGGAUAUAAACGUGCUGAAGAGAGACCUUCAAAAUGCACAAAACUAGGAAUAAGAGCAGAGUGGAGCCCCACACCUGCAUGCUAAUCAAUAAAAUGUAAACUGACACUGCCGCCAGUGGAGGGAACCAGGUAUGAACCUACUUACAGAAAUCUAUUUUCACCUGG